GCGACAUAUAGUGUUGGCUGAAUAAAUAUGUCGUCCCAUGCGAUGGGGUGAUAUUUUGAAUGUUCUCCUGUACUGGGAUUGGCUUUAUUCUGUGGUUUGCUUUAUGUCAUAGAGAUUUACUGAGUUUAACGGUGGUGUUGUGUUUUGGUGCUGAUACUUUUGUUGUAGAUGGCGAUGACUGAUCUGCAGGCUCUUGUUGUGGGGAACAAGAACCUGACCAUCCAUGUGUAUGUUUCGCGUUUGUGGCAGCAUUGUGGAUCCACUGAUAACAGUCCUAUCAAAGACACUGACAUGGUCCUUUUGGAUGUGUAGGGCAAACAUCUAUUCUGAGAUUGGUGAGAAGCUUGUGCCUAAGUUCAAUUGAGGCAACCACAUCCAUGUUGUUUCUUGGCAUGAGCAACCACAUCUAUGCUGAUAUUGGCUCCUGGGCUCCUUUAUAGGUCUCUUACUGUGAAGCUUGUGGUUGGCAUGCCUUUCAAGCAUUCAAUUCUUAUGAGGGUGGAGUUGGAGAAGGUGGGGCGUCAGAGCAGAGCUAAUUGCAGCGUCCACGACCUCCUUGGGCAUGGCCAAUCCCGCCAGAU